rnacentral:lncRNA from 1 species
GCCGGGGACGCGGCGACCGCGCCGGCGGCCGCGGGGUCGGUGUUGUAGAAACUGGCCAGGAGAUCGCGCGUGCGCCGGGCCUUCUCGUCCAUUGCCGUCGGCACGGCGCCGACGGUGGUGGCCAUUUCGCGCCGAGGUUGGGGAGGAGGUUGGACGCCGGGGAGAUCGGGUGUUGUAGGAGUGGAUCGGAGAGGGGAAAGAUGAGGGGUUCUUUUGGGAAGUUUGCUCGUCGGGAAUUUUACGGCCCUGGCCCUGCAGUGCACGAGCUGAACAAAUGAAACCGUUAGGGUCUGAACUGUAAAUUUUGAAAUCACUAAGAGGGUGUUUGUUUCCAGGGACUUAUUGG